rnacentral:lncRNA from 1 species
ACUUGCUCUUCCUUGCAGAUGACUUCUCCAGUGCUGUUUGGAUGUGCCUGCUGCUCCUAAAGCCUUGAUUUGACAGCAGCCUCUGGCAUGCUGUGGGCCACCAGAUCUGCAUAGCAACAGACCCGCCAGUCUUCCUGCGGAGAGUUAAAGGAAUUUUGGAGAAAAUAAGUGCUGGCAGCACAGGGAGCUGAGAGCAGUGGAAGUCCAGAGGUCCAGGGCACCAGAGGAGGUCACCAGGAGCUGUCAUGCCUUAUAGGCCCUGCAAGAAAGAGAAAGGAAAAAUGAUUCAUUGUUUGAUGCAAGCCUCUGUAGCCUUUGGACCAGCUCUCUUGUUCUGCAGCACAGGUUCAUUCCCUUUGUGCUGCAGCUCUUGGUCACCCCAUCCAGCAUGGACAAAAAGGCUGCACAGCAUUCAGAAGUACUGA